rnacentral:rRNA from 1 species
GCAGACCAGUCCGUUCCACUAGCGGUCUACACCAUAUGUCGAUGGUUAGCACUCCGUGCAAACUCUCACUAUUUAUCGCGCAGAAACCGUCUGAGAGAUUCUCCGCCACCAAAUACAUCUCCGUCACUGUCGACGCGGCUAAAUUGGGCAUCUUUUCCGAAGACUGUAUCUGCACUUCAUUGUGUGGAGCGGUAUUCGGAACCUUUACUUUGAGGAAAUUAGAGUGUUUCAGGCAUGCGCUUGUGGUGAAUACAUUAGCAUGGAAUAAUAAGCUCCGCCUCGUGGUAGCCACUAACGGUUACUCAUAAUAGGCACUAGUGCGUGCGGCAUACUAUCUAUCGUCAGUAGGCGCGCAACUCCGACUUCGCUAUUAAUGAUCGAAUAUCGCGAAAGCAUUCGCUCCACGGAUGUUUUUCAUUGAUCAAGAACGAAAGUUAGGGGAUCGAAGACGAUCAGAUCCGUCGUAGUCUUACCAUAAAUCAUGCCGACUAGAGAUUGGGGGUCGUUAGCUCUAUGACUCCUCAGCACCUUACUGAGAAAUCAAAGUUUUUGGGUUCUGGGGGUAGUAUGGUCGCAAGGCUGAAACUUAAAGGAAUGACGGGACGGCACCACCAGGAGUGGAGCCUGCGGCUUAAUUUGACUCAACACGGGAAAUCUCACCAGGUCCAGACAUAGUAAGGAUCGACAGAUUGAUAGCUCUUUCUUGAUUCUAUGGGUGGUGGCUGCAUGCCGUUCUUAGUUGGUGGAGUGAUUUGUCUGGUUAAUUCCGUUAACGAACGAGACCUUAGCCUGCUAAAUAGUGUCAAGUAUGAUUCUUAUUUGAUUACUUCUUAGAGGGACUUUGUGUGUCUAACGCAAGGAAGUUUGAGCGCAAUAACAGGUCUGUGAUGCCCUGAGAUGUUCUGGGCUGCACGCGCGCUACACUGAUGCAUUCAACGAGUUUAUAACCUUGCCUGAAAAGGUUGGGUAAUCUGCAAUGCGCAUCGUGAUGGGGAUAGAUUACUAGCAAUUAUUAAUCUUCACCGAGGAAUUCCUAGUAAGCGCGAGUCAUCAGCUCGUGCAUGAUUACGUCCCUCGCCCUUCGUACACACCGCCCGUCGCUCCUACCGAGUGAGUGAAUCGGUGAAUAAGCUCGGAGACUGAUGCACGGUCAGCUCACGCUAGCAUCAUGUCUCUGGAAGACGGACGCGACUCACU